UUUUUUUUUGUUUUUUUUUCUGCUCAGGACGAACGCUGGCGGCGUGCCUAAUACAUGCAAGUCGAGCGAAUCUGAGGGAGCUUGCUCCCAAAGAUUAGCGGCGGACGGGUGAGUAACACGUGGGUAACCUGCCUGUAAGAUUGGGAUAACUCCGGGAAACCGGAGCUAAUACCGGAUAACAUGUCGAACCGCAUGGUUCGACAUUGAAAGAUGGCUUCGGCUAUCACUUACAGAUGGACCCGCGGCGCAUUAGCUAGUUGGUGAGGUAACGGCUCACCAAGGCGACGAUGCGUAGCCGACCUGAGAGGGUGAUCGGCCACACUGGGACUGAGACACGGCCCAGACUCCUACGGGAGGCAGCAGUAGGGAAUCUUCCGCAAUGGACGAAAGUCUGACGGAGCAACGCCGCGUGAACGAUGAAGGCCUUCGGGUCGUAAAGUUCUGUUGUUAGGGAAGAACAAGUACCAGAGUAACUGCUGGUACCUUGACGGUACCUAACCAGAAAGCCACGGCUAACUACGUGCCAGCAGCCGCGGUAAUACGUAGGUGGCAAGCGUUGUCCGGAAUUAUUGGGCGUAAAGCGCGCGCAGGUGGUUUCUUAAGUCUGAUGUGAAAGCCCACGGCUCAACCGUGGAGGGUCAUUGGAAACUGGGGAACUUGAGUGCAGAAGAGGAAAGUGGAAUUCCAAGUGUAGCGGUGAAAUGCGUAGAGAUUUGGAGGAACACCAGUGGCGAAGGCGACUUUCUGGUCUGUACUGACACUGAGGCGCGAAAGCGUGGGGAGCGAACAGGAUUAGAUACCCUGGUAGUCCACGCCGUAAACGAUGAGUGCUAAGUGUUAGAGGGUUUCCGCCCUUUAGUGCUGCAGCAAACGCAUUAAGCACUCCGCCUGGAGUACGACGUG
rnacentral:rRNA from 1 species